rnacentral:rRNA from 1 species
CGCGGCCUAUCAGCUUGUUGGUGAGGUAAUGGCUCACCAAGGCGAGGACGGGUAGCCGGCCUGAGAGGGCGACCGGCCACACUGGGACUGAGACACGGCCCAGACUCCUACGGGAGGCAGCAGUGGGGAAUAUUGCACAAUGGGCGGAAGCCUGAUGCAGCGACGCCGCGUGAGGGAUGACGGCCUUCGGGUUGUAAACCUCUUUCAGCAGGGACGAAGCGCAAGUGACGGCACCUGCAGAAGAAGCGCCGGCCAACUACGUGCCAGCAGCCGCGGUAAGACGUAGGGCGCGAGCGUUGUCCGGAUUUAUUGGGCGUAAAGAGCUCGUAGGCGGCUUGUCGCGUCGAAUGUGAAAACUUGGGGCUCAACCCUAAGCCUGCAUUCGAUACGGGCUAGCUAGAGUGUGGUAGGGGAGAUCGGAAUUCCUGGUGUAGCGGUGAAAUGCGCAGAUAUCAG